rnacentral:rRNA from 1 species
AAUGAACGUUGGCGGCGUGGAUUAGGCAUGCAAGUCGUGCGGAAAGGCUCCUUCGGGAGUACUCGAGCGGCGAAAGGGAGAGUAACGCGUGGAUAUCUACCCCCUGGACUGGGAUAGCGGCGGGAAACUGCCGGUAAUACCAGAUAUUGUCUGCGGACCAAAGGUGUGAUUCCGCCGGGGGAUGAGUCCGCGUCCUAUUAGCUAGUUGGUGGGGUAAUGGCUCACCAAGGCUGAGAUGGGUACCGGGUGUGAGAGCAUGGCCCGGCUCACUGGGACUGAGACACUGCCCAGACACCUACGGGUGGCUGCAGUCGAGAAUCUUCGGCAAUGGGCGCUAGCCUGACCGAGCGACGCCGCGUGCGGGAUGAAGGCCUUCGGGUUGUAAACCGCUGUCAGAGGGGAGGAAAUGCGUGAGGGUUCUCUCUCACGUUUGACCUAUCCUCAGAGGAAGUACGGGCUAAGUUCGUGCCAGCCGCCGCCGUAACAC